rnacentral:rRNA from 1 species
AGGGCACCACCAGGAGUGGAGCCUGCGGCUUAAUUUGACUCAACACGGGAAAACUUACCCGGCCCGGACACUGGAAGGAUUGACAGAUUGAGAGCUCUUUCUUGAUUCAGUGGGUGGUGGUGCAUGGCCGUUCUUAGUUGGUGGAGCGAUUUGUCUGGUUAAUUCCGAUAACGAACGAGACUCUAGCCUACUAAAUAGACUAUCGUUCCUUUGUGACGGUAGGACUUCUUAGAGGGACAGGCGGCGACUCAGCCGCACGAAACAGGGCAAUAACAGGUCUGUGAUGCCCUUAGAUGUCCGGGGCCGCACGCGCGCUACACUGAAGUGAUCAGCGUGCAUUAAUAACCCUCUCCGUCAGGAGUGGGUAACCCAUUGAACCUUCUUCGUGAUUGGGAUAGGGUAUUGUAAUUCUUACCCUUGAACGAGGAAUUCCCAGUAAGCGCGAGUCAUAAGCUUGCGUUGAUUACGUCCCUGCCCUUUGUACACACCGCCCGUCGCUACUACCGAUUGAAUGAUUUA